rnacentral:rRNA from 1 species
GUGCAGCAGGCGCGAAUACUUUACAAUGUGCGAAAGCACGAUAAGGGAACUCUGAGUGCCUCCUAAGGAGGCUAUUCAGGUGUCUAAAAGCACCUGAAGGAAGGGCUGGGUAAGACCGGUGCCAGCCGCCGCGGUAACACCGGCAGCCCAAGUGGUAGCCACGUUUAUUGGGUCUAAAGCGUCCGUAGCCGGCUGGGUAAGUUCCUUGGGAAAUUUGGCUGCUUAACAGUCAAGCUUUCAGGGAAUACUGCCCGGCUUGGGACCGGGAGAGGUCAGAGGUACUCCAGGGGUAGGGUGAAAUCCAUUAAUCCUUGGGGGACCACCGGUAGCGAAGGCGUCUGACCAGACCGGGUCCGACGGUGAGGGACGAAGGCUAGGGGAGCGAACCGGAUUAGAUACCCCGGUAGU